UACGUAGGGUGCGGAGCGUUGUCCGGAAUUAUUGGGCGUGAAAGAGCUCGUAGGCGGUGUGUCGCGUCGGCCGUGAAAACCUGCAGCUUAACUGUGGGCUUGCGGUCGAUACGGGGCAUCACUGGAGUUCGGCAGGGGAGACUGGAAUUCCUGGUGUAGCGGUGAAAUGCGCAGAUAUCAGGAGGAACACCGGUGGCGAAGGCGGGGUCU
rnacentral:rRNA from 1 species